AGCUCCAAUAGCGUAUAUUAAAGUUGUUGCAGUUAAAAAGCUCGUAGUUGGAUUUCUGGCCGUGGCGCGUGGUCCGCCUGAUGGCGAGUACUGCGUGGUGCGGUCUUCCUCUCGAAGACGGCUCGUGCUCUUAACUGGGUGUGGGUCGGAUUCGGGACCUUUACUUUGAAAAAAUUAGAGUGUUCAAAGCAGGCAAUCGCUUGAAUACAUUAGCAUGGAAUAAUGGAAUAGGACUUUGGUUCUAUUUUGUUGGUUUCUAGGACUAAAGUAAUGAUUAAUAGGGAUAGUUGGGGGCAUUAGUAUUUAAUUGUCAGAGGUGAAAUUCUUGGAUUUAUGAAAGACUAACUUCUGCGAAAGCAUUUGCCAAGGAUGUUUUCAUUAAUCAAGAACGAAAGUACGC
rnacentral:rRNA from 1 species